rnacentral:lncRNA from 1 species
UUCAUUGCUUCAUUCUUUCAUUGCUUUGCUGUGCAUUCUGUCCAAUUCUUUGUUCAAAAUGCCAAGAACCUGGACAAUUUGCAGUCAAGACCCUCCACCGGGAUAUGAACUUCCAAUUAUAUCAUUGGACUUGACUACUCCAUUUCUUUCCACAUUUAAAAAUCAAUCAGGGAGAAGCUAUUUUGAGAACUUAACACAGUAUUUAACAUGGGAUUUCUGAAUGAAGACAGUUUAUGGAUGAAUAAGGCAAAGGAGUUACUGAAUGUCUGGACUUCAGCGAAUUAAGACACUGAGACUUUCUCGCUAUUGAAGCUACCUUGAAACAAUAAACACUAAAUACCUAGUUGGUUUGCCAAAAGCAUAAAAUGUUACUUUUCGUAUUUGAUUUUCUUUCCCAAAUCUAUAAUAUAAUCCAGAAUUUGUACACAUAUUUUUUUCC